UACAGAGGGGGCAAGCGUUGUUCGGAAUUACUGGGCGUAAAGGGCGCGUAGGCGGCCUGUUAAGUCGAACGUGAAAUCCCCGGGCUCAACCCGGGAACUGCGUCCGAUACUGGCAGGCUUGAAUUCGGGAGAGGGAUGCGGAAUUCCAGGUGUAGCGGUGAAAUGCGUAGAUAUCUGGAGGAACACCGGUGGCGAAGGCGGCAUCCUGGACCGACAUUGACGCUGAGGUGCGAAAGCGUGGGGAGCAAAACAGG
rnacentral:rRNA from 1 species